AUUGAACGCUGGCGGCAGGCCUAACACAUGCAAGUCGAACGGUAACAGGGAUCAGCUUGCUGAUUCGCUGACGAGUGGCGGACGGGUGAGUAAUGUCUGGGAAACUGCCUGAUGGAGGGGGAUAACUACUGGAAACGGUAGCUAAUACCGCAUAACGUCGCAAGACCAAAGAGGGGGACCUUCGGGCCUCUUGCCAUCGGAUGUGCCCAGAUGGGAUUAGCUAGUAGGUGGGGUAACGGCUCACCUAGGCGACGAUCCCUAGCUGGUCUGAGAGGAUGACCAGCCACACUGGAACUGAGACACGGUCCAGACUCCUACGGGAGGCAGCAGUGGGGAAUAUUGCACAAUGGGCGCAAGCCUGAUGCAGCCAUGCCGCGUGUAUGAAGAAGGGCUUCGGGUUGUAAAGUACUUUCAGCGGGGAGGAAGGGAGUAAAGUUAAUACCUUUGCUCAUUGACGUUACCCGCAGAAGAAGCACCGGCUAACUCCGUG
rnacentral:rRNA from 1 species